GUUGGGCAUAGUGGCGGGCGCCUGUAAUCCCAACUACUCGGGAGGCUGAGGCAGGAGAAUCGCUUGAACCCAGGAGGCAGAGGUUGCAGUGAGCCUAGAUGGUGCCACUGCACUCCAGCCUGGGCAACAGAGUGAGACCCUGUCUCUC
rnacentral:SRP_RNA from 1 species